rnacentral:lncRNA from 1 species
UUCUGGACCUCAGUGGGCACGGCACCAAGACCUACUGCUUCUGGUCACAAACCUCCAGAUGGAUCUACCAAAAUGAUACCUCACAGCUCCAUCACUUCAUUGCCCUAAAUCUGGCAUGUGGGAGGAAGGAACCAGAGCAGAGAGAGAAGGAAUGCAAGAGGUGCCAGAGUUGAGUGUAUUACAGGUUAUUUCAUCUGCUUCUCCCUGCAGACAAGCCCGCACAAAGAUCAAGCCAA